rfam:Cricetulus griseus cell line CHO-K1, whole genome shotgun sequence.
AAGGAUGUAGCUCAGUGGUAGAGCACAUGCCUGGUAUGCAUGAGACCCUUGGAUUUGAGCCUUA